AUGUUAUUCAACGGCCCAUCACUUUGCACAACGCCAGAGAUUUGGGCCAGGAGCCCAACGACGGUUUGCCUGGAGCUAAACAGCAAAACAGCAGCGCAAGCGAUUCCCCUCACUUCACCAGACCCUCCUGGAUGCAGGGAGCCUCGCGGCCGCCCAUCCCGCCUCAACCUGGCUGCUGUACUAGCACCGACCACUAGGGGGCAGCAGCCACGGGACCGCUCUGGGACCCGGCCCCGAGUUCCAGGUCUCCAGGACCUAAACCAAAUGAGACAAGGAUGAGUGUCUGUUUUCUUUCACCAUCACAGACGCAGCCUCUCAAAAGGCAGGCAUUCAAUAAAUAGCCAUCCAAUGGACAAAUGGUCGAACACGUAACUGAAUUGGUUUGGAGUGCUUGGGGGUCCCUGGAAGCAGCUGAAAGACAGCGCCAACAGUCGAGGCCACCCCCGAGAAGGUGACAAGUGAUGAGUAUCCGUCUCCUCGCCCACCCCACGCUGCAGCAUCUUCUCUUUCCUUCUGAGACCCUGAACACACUCAUGCCCCCCUAAGGUGCCUCUGGUUCAACCCACCAGACCUUCCAUUUCCAACGUCUCCCACUCUCCCUUCUUCCGUCCAUCCCUCUGGCUGUGGCAGGGGUAAGCCGGCCCAGGGGCUCAAGGGUGACAUGCUGGGUGCAGCUGGCCAUGACCUCUGUGAUCCCUAGAUCCAGAUCCGGGAAGCUGGAUGGCAUACUUGCUACUCAAAUAAACCUCAAAUUGCAGUGGACUGCCAGCCCCAAAGAUGGGGCCUCUGUCCAUCACUCCAGGGUUGGGGGACUCAGGGACAUUCACCCCCUCCCUACCCGUCUCCUCUGCUGAAUGCUCUCAGCCUGCCCCCCCCCAGGUGUCCAGCCUCCAGCACCCUGUGGGCCCUGCGAGCCCUGGCAGCCAGCAGUGUGAUGAGCACCACCUCUAGCCCCUUUUGAAGGGCCCUCUUUGCCCUCCAGCCCAAAACACAGGGUGCCCCACAGGCCACGGGGUCUCUGCCCCAACCUGAAUCCUGAGAAACUGCCCCAAACCCACCCCAGUAAGAACCCUGCCUUCCAUCCCCAUGGGAACAAAUCCCUCCUCAGAAGAGAAGGGACAGAGACCCGUGGAGAAGCAGCACCCAGCCUGUGAUGCCUGCUGACCUCGGGGAGACCCCCUUCAGACCACAGCCCCCUGCCCUCAAGGUGGAAGUGGCUGAGAAAGUGGGAUGGCUACCAGGGAGCAGCCCCCCUCGAAGAUGGGGUGCAGGGUCAAUGCUCCGUAGGGAUCAGGGGACUGAACUCUGGUCUUGCUCUCAGCAGAUGACCGUAAGCCAGGCCAAGCGACCUUCUUGUCCAGAAAUGAUGGCUCUUUAUUUCCAACAUAAAGGAAGGGUUGAUGAGAUCUCCCAGCUCUGCAAUCUCUGGUCAUAUCUUUUAAAGUCAUGAACUUGGACUCCCAGGGACAAACAUGGUGGUGGGGAGCUCUUGCUCAAGGCCAAGCCAAGGCCUGUGGAAGCAGGGACCCAAGGACCCAGAAGCGAGCAGUGGAGUGUUCCACCGAUGACAUGACUUGUCAUAUUGCAAAAGAGUAACAGCAGUGGGUAGGAGAGCCCAGCUGUCUUCUAUCAAGCCAGUGGGAAAGGAACUUGCAGAAAGACAAAACAAUGUCUUCUCCCUGUUUAUUUUUGUUUUAGAAAAUAGUUCUUUUUACAUUAACACAGAGUGGAUUUAUUAUUGCUACUUUAAAUGCAUGCAUAA